rnacentral:rRNA from 1 species
GUCCUCUUGUUUAUAUAUGAGGUCAGACCUGCCCGGUGAAUUUUAUUUUAACGGCCGCGGUAUUUUGACCGUGCAAAGGUAGCAUAAUCAUUAGUCUUUUAAUAGGAGGCUGGAAUGAAGGGUUUGACGAGGUGUUGACUGUCUCAUUUAAUUUGAAAUUAAAAUUUAACUUUUCAGUUAAAAGGCUGAAAUUAUAUUGGAAGACGAGAAGACCCUAUAGAGCUUUAUAGUUAUAGUUCUAAUUAAUUAUUGUUUAAUUAUUAUUUUUUAUAAUUAUGUCUAUUUUGUUGGGGUGACAAAAAUAUAAAAGUAACUUUUUUAUUUAGUGUUCAUUGAUUUAUGAACUUUAGAUCCAAUUUUAUUGAUUGUUAGAAUAAGUUACCUUAGGGAUAACAGCGUAAUCUUCCUUCAGAGUUCAUAUUUACAGGAAGGAUUGCGACCUCGAUGUUGGAUUAAGAUAAUAAUUAGGUGUAGCCGCUUAAUUUAUAGGUCUGUUCGACCUUUAAACUCUU